rnacentral:rRNA from 1 species
UAAGACGGAGGGGGCUAGCGUUGUUCGGAAUGACUGGGCGUAAAGGGCGCGUAGGCGGCAAAUCAAGUCAGGUGUGAAAGCCUUGGGCUCAACCCAAGAAUUGCGCUUGAUACUGGUUAGCUAGAGGAUGGAAGAGAAAAGCGGAAUUCCUAGUGUAGAGGUGAAAUUCGUAGAUAUUAGGAAGAACACCAGAGGCGAAGGCGGCUUUUUGGUCCAUAUCUGACGCUGAGGCGCGAAAGCGUGGGGAGCAAACAGG